CCACCGCGGUUAUACGAAAGACCCUAGUUAAUAGCCACGGCGUAAAGGGUGGUUAGGGAAUAUAAUAAAUAAAGCUAAAGACCCUCUAAGCCGUCAUACGCACUCCGAGGGCACGAAGCCCACACACGAAAGUAGCUUUACGCCCCCCGACUCCACAAAAGCUAAGAAACAAACUGGGAUUAGAUACCCCACUAUGCUUAGCCAUAAACCUUGAUGUAAUUUUACACACACAUCCGCCAGGGUACUACGAGCACAGCUUAAAACCCAAAGGACUUGGCGGUGUCUCAGACCCACCUAGAGGAGCCUGUUCUAGAACCGAUACCCCUCGUUAAACCUCACCACUUCUUGUUUCCCCCGCCUAUAUACCGCCGUCGUCAGCUUACCCUGUGAAGGCCUAACAGUAAGCAAAAUGGGCCCGCCCAAAAACGUCAGGUCGAGGUGUAGCGUACGAAGUGGGAAGAAAUGGGCUACAUUUUCUAAAACAGAAUAUUACGAACAGCACCCUGAAAACAAGUGCUAGAAGGUGGAUUUAGUAGUAAAAAGCAAAUAGAGAGUCCUUUUGAAUUAGGCUCUGAGACGCGCACACACCGCCCGUCACUCUCCCCUACCUUAACCCAUUACACAUAAAUAAUGCCACAACCAAAACCACGGGGAGGCAAGUCGUAACAUG
rnacentral:rRNA from 1 species